AAAAUUAUAUAUCCUAUCUAAAAAAGGAGAUGUUAAAUCAAAUCGAAUUUAUUGUUGCCGCUUUUCCGAGAUGCUGAUUGGCUGUCUCACUAUCUCGUUGUUAAGUGCGUUGUGACUUUCUUCACUUCGUGUCAUUUCCAGCUGUUAAACUACUUCGUGUCAUUUUCAGCUGUCAAACUGUCACUUUUGAUAGUU